rnacentral:lncRNA from 1 species
UGGCCACAAGGCUUGCCGGUCCAAUCUGCAUCCUCCCUCCUGCUAGGUCACAGACACUGGGCUUCCAGCAAGCAGUCCUUGCACAUCAGCGCUCUCUUUGCUCUUUGGAGCUGUAGACCAACACAGCUGCCCUUGACCCAUCUGAGAUUCCUUUAGGCCAGGUUUCCACUGCUGCAUUGUGGCAAUCCGUAUUCCUAUGUUUUGGUUUGUUUUUAAUUCCUCGAACCCCAGCCUUUUUACCUCAUAGAACUCCUGCUUCCUUUAGAGGAAGGCCAUGGUUUUUUCUUUCUUUCUUUCUUUCGAAGGCUCUGAGGAGAGAGGUAGGAGGGGUUUGGAACCAACCUGUCUUCUUGGACCCCUCAUGAAUAUGAGUAACCCGGGCCCAUGCUGAUGUGUAUUUUGGAAGCUCUGCCUGAGAUGCUCUCUGUCCUAUGAUUUGAAGGAUGAAGAGACUGGAGUGAUAUGGAAUGUCAGGUCAAGACGUCACAGGGGACAGAAGGGUCCCCUUUGCAAAUAACUAGGAAGUUUUCAGGAAUGCAGAUAAAGUGAUGGCAUAGGCCUCUCUUUUUUAAUCCCUGAGUUGUCUGAAGCGCAAACAAAAUAAAAAAUAAACCAAACAAACAAAAUC